rnacentral:lncRNA from 1 species
UUUUGUUCGUAAAAAAUUGAAAUCAUAAAUUUCACUUUGAAUUAAAUCAAUUGAUUCUAUAUUUCUUUCAAGAUUGAGGUGAUGACCUUGUAAAAAUUUUGUUUCAACACAAGUUUCACACUUAUGUAGGUAUUGAAUAGAGUUUCAAUCCUUUGGCAUUUUCGGUGCCUGUUCCUCUUAUCUUGUGAGGUAACCUCCUUUGGAAACCUUUCAUUGGUAGGCCUAUCCCUAUGCUGCCAUUUGCGUUGCUUUUUUGAUGCGCUGCCACAGAUUUUUGACCCUCGUAUGCUACUAUUAUCAUAGAAAAAGCGCUGUUACAUUUUUUUCAAUUUUAUCUAGCGCGCAUACCUUUGUAUUUUCUAUCUUCGCUCGUCAAGAAGUAUUCUCCACCGUAAGAACUUUUAAAAUUUAAGCCAUUUCCUGAAUGAUUUGACAGUAGACAUUUUCUUUCACAAGCAGCAACAUUGUGCAGGAGACAUGCCAGCUUGCAUUUUUACCAUAGUUUCUUCUCUCCAUCUCUUGGGAUUAGCAUCACUGUCUGGUGAACAGUCACUUCAUUCGCUGACUUUCACUACUAAUGCUUUCAUUUCUUCUUAUUUUUCUUUGAUCCGACUCAUGACUUUUUAUCUAAAAAAUUUUGAGCUUUUUCAGAUAUAAUAAGAUUUUGUGGUUUACUGCAUUCAAGUUUUCCAACAGAUGGCGCCAAUUUGUUGAUGAUAGAAAUCUAAUCAAUAAAUUUUAUGCACCUAGUUAUGAUUUUCACUUUUUUAAAUUUACUAGUUUUGAUCAUCAAACUGGAAAAAGAAGAAAAAUACC